rnacentral:piRNA from 1 species
UUAAAUGUUCUAGCUGUCUCUGUCU